rnacentral:rRNA from 1 species
UACGUAGGGUGCAAGCGUUGUCCGGAAUUAUUGGGCGUAAAGAGCUCGUAGGCGGUCUGUCACGUCGGCUGUGAAAACCCGAGGCUCAACCUCGGGCCUGCAGUCGAUACGGGCAGACUAGAGUUCGGUAGGGGAGACUGGAAUACUUGGUGUAGCAGUGAAAUGCGUAGAUAUCAAGUGGAACACCAGUGGCGAAGGCGAGUCUCUGGACAUUUCCUGACGCUGAGGCACGAAAGCCAGGGGAGCAAACGGG